rnacentral:lncRNA from 1 species
CCUCCUCCUCCUCCUCCUUAGUAUUGGAGUCGAGAUCAUCAUCUUCAUCAUUUCCUCCUUGAAUAUGCAAGUUUCCAGUUUUCAAUUUAGUAGUGGUGGUGCAAUCAGAAGAGUUGACAUUGUUGUCCUUGAUCAGGUAAAGAUGCAAAAAGAAGAAAGAAGUUCCCAUAGUAGCGAAAACGUAGAGAAACUUGGCAACGAUGGGGCCGAAAAAUGGUGCAAAAUGGUGAGCACAGGCGAAGAGGGUAGCCGUGUACAAAAACCAUACCGCGUAUUUGUAUUUGUUUGGUGUUUUUUCAUGUCGAUGCGACAACAACCAUUGAUACACCGAGGAGCAGCAAACAGUCCCAAAGAAGCAGAAGCAGAUGAACGAGUUGAAAGCUACGGCGGAAUAGCCGUGAUCUCGAGCGUCUAACUGGCAGAUUCUGGUAACACAAAAGGAAGCCAUCAACAUAUGGGCAUACGCCGGCGGAAUUUUAGCAAUCACCUGUGAUAUUGCUGCAGCAGCACCACCCAUUUUUAUUUAUUUAUUGUAUUGAGUUUUGGUUAAUUAGUGCACUCAGGAUUUUAUAGUUGGUAUUCGGAAACUUCCCAAAAAUUUACAAAUCAUUAUAUAAAUAUAGUAUAUAUAAAGUAGGUUCCUUGAAGCUGUCAAAAAAGGUUAAAGUAACAUAGUGGAUUGCUUCGAAAAGACGGCAGUAUCUAUAUGCCAUUUGUUAUUCCGAUCAAACAACUUUUUUUAUUCUCUUUCAGAAUUUUAUUUCAUUGAGCUCAUUCAGAUUAUUUAAAUAUUCAGUACUAUUUCAUUUAAUUUUAUUAAACACCCUUUAAUUUGGUUAAUUUUAGCCCAUAAGAAAAAUAGAGUAUUUCAUUAAUGACAUUUUUAGCAUUUUAUCAUUUUUAUUGAAGAGUAUUAAUUUCGAGGUUUUAUUAUUUCCACAAUCAAAACUAUGUUAAUUCCGAUUAGUCAUAAAAUCAAAUUUAUAUGUAGGAGGAUAAUUAUAGUUCUUCAUAUACUACAACUAAAUUAUAUAGCAUAAUAAAAUUAGCAUAAAAUCAUCUAAAAAACAAAAUUCAUAAGUCUGCUAUAUGAAUUUUCUUUCAGUUUAUUAGAUUCCCCUCUUCUAUUAUUUUGGAUUCAAUACAUCUAUGACAGGCGUUUGAUCUGAUAAUGUUUUUUCUACAACAGAUUUCCAAAGUUAAUUGACGGGAAAUGGGUAACGUUUUAUACAGAUAAAUAGAUCCUUUGAUAUGGUUGAAAAGUGGGAUUGUGAUAUUUAAUUUCAUAUAUAGCUGUUAAUUCAAAAAUUGUUUUCUUAGUUUGGAAUUUGAAUGAGAUUAAUAUACUACUAAUAAUAAGAGAGACAAUAGAAAAAAGGGUUCUUUUAGUGUUUUCAUAUAUAUGGUGAAGAUUAUUUUUUCCGGAACUCCAUUCUUCUAAUAGGUCCUAUUUGAGUAAGUUCUAUAUAUUCAUUCAAAAGGCAACUCAAGUCUAUUGCUGGAAAUGGUUUCUGUUNNNNNNNNNNNNNNNNNNNNNNNNNNNNNNNNNNNNNNNNNNNNNNNNNNNNNNNNNNNNNNNNNNNNNNNNNNNNNNNNNNNNNNNNNNNNNNNNNNNNCCUCCUCCACACCAUGAAUUCAUACACCCUCCUCCUCCUCCUCCUCCUCCUCCUCCUUAGUAUUGGAGUUGAGAUCAUCAUCUUCAUCAUUUCCUCCUUGAAUAUGCAAGUUUCCAGUUUUAAAUUUAGUAGUGGUGGUGCAAUCAGAAGAGUUGACAUUGUUGUCCUUGAUUAGGUAAAGAUGCAAAAAGAAGAAGAAAGUCCCCAUAGUAGCGAAAACGUAGAGAAACUUGGCAACAAUGGGGCCGAAAAAUGGUGCAAAAUGGUGAGCACAGGCGAAGAGGGUGGCCGCAUACAACCACCAUACAGCGUAUUUGUAUCUGUUUGGUGUUUUUUCAUGUCGAUGCGACAACAACCAUUGAUACGUCGAGGAGCAGCAAACAGUCCCAAAGAAGCAGAAGCAGAUGAACGAGUUGAAAGCUACGGCGGAAUAGCCGUGAUCUCGAGCGUCUAACUGGCAGAUUCUGGUAACACAAAAGGAAGCCAUCAACAUAUGGGCAUAAGCCGACAAAAUUUUGGCAAUUACCUGUGAUAUUGCUGCAGCAGCACCACCCAUUUUUAUUUAUUUAUUGUUCGAGGUUUGGUUAGUGGACUCAGGGUUGUUUUAUAGUUGGUAUUCGGAAACUUCCCAGAAAUUUACAAAUCAUUAUAUAUAUAUAUAUAAAAUAUAAAGUAGGUUUCUUGAAGCUGUCAAAAAAAGGUUAAAGUAACAUAG